rnacentral:rRNA from 1 species
UACGUAGGGGGCAAGCGUUGUCCGGAUUUAUUGGGCGUAAAGAGCGUGUAGGCGGCCUUACAGGUCAGCUGUGAAAACUCGAGGCUCAACCUCGAGACGUCGGUUGAAACCGUAUGGCUAGAGUCCGGAAGAGGAGAGUGGAAUUCCCGGUGUAGCGGUGAAAUGCGCAGAUAUCGGGAGGAACACCAAUUGCGAAGGCAGCUCGCUGGGACGUUACUGACGCUGAGACGCGAAAGCGUGGGGAGCAAACAGG